AUUGAACGCUGGCGGCAUGCCUUACACAUGCAAGUCGAACGGCAGCGCGGGAGCAAUCCUGGCGGCGAGUGGCGAACGGGUGAGUAAUACAUCGGAACGUGCCCAAUCGUGGGGGAUAACGCAGCGAAAGCUGUGCUAAUACCGCAUACGAUCUACGGAUGAAAGCAGGGGAUCGCAAGACCUUGCGCGAAUGGAGCGGCCGAUGGCAGAUUAGGUAGUUGGUGAGGUAAAGGCUCACCAAGCCUUCGAUCUGUAGCUGGUCUGAGAGGACGACCAGCCACACUGGGACUGAGACACGGCCCAGACUCCUACGGGAGGCAGCAGUGGGGAAUUUUGGACAAUGGGCGAAAGCCUGAUCCAGCCAUGCCGCGUGCA
rnacentral:rRNA from 1 species